rnacentral:rRNA from 1 species
ACCUCGGAUCAGGUAGGAAUACCCGCUGAACUUAAGCAUAUCAAUAAGCGGAGGAAAAGAAACCAACAGGGAUUGCCCUAGUAACGGCGAGUGAAGCGGCAACAGCUCAAAUUUGAAAUCUGGCCCUCGGGUCCGAAUUGUAAUUUGUAGAGGAUGCUUUUGGUGAGGUACCUUCCGAGUUCCCUGGAACGGGACGCCAUAGAGGGUGAGAGCCCCGUCUGGUCGGAUACCGAUCCUCUGUAAAGCUCCUUCGACGAGUCGAGUAGUUUGGGAAUGCUGCUCUAAAUGGGAGGUAUAUGUCUUCUAAAGCUAAAUAUUGGCCAGAGACCGAUAGCGCACAAGUAGAGUGAUCGAAAGAUGAAAAGCACUUUGAAAAGAGAGUUAAAAAGUACGUGAAAUUGUUGAAAGGGAAGCGCUCAUGACCAGACUUGGGCUUGGUUGAUCAUCCAGGGUUCUCCCUGGUGCACUCUUCCAGCCCAGGCCAGCAUCAGUUCGCUGUGGGGGAUAAAGGCUUUGGGAAUGUGGCUCCUCCGGGAGUGUUAUAGCCCAUUGUGUAAUACCCUGUGGUGGAC